CCACUCCCCACCCCACGAACUUCCCAACCACCACCACCUCUCGCUCUCGCACCACGUCUGGGCUCUGCCCCAUCCUCCCGCCGCCGCCGCCGACCUGGCUCCGGCGCACCUCCUCCCGCCGCCGCCCUGGCUCCAGAGCACCUCCUGCCGCCGUCCCCUCGGCCCAAGCGCGCCACCCGUCGCCGCCCAUCCCACUCCUCGGCCCGAGGCGCCUCCCACCGCCGCCCCCGUCCCCGACGCACCUAAUACCGCCGGCCCGCUCGCCCCAACGCCCCACCCGCUGCUGGCCACCGGAGCCGCCGCCCCCAUUCGCGUGCUGCGCCAUGGCGACGCGCGCCCGUCCCUCCCUUUGCCCUGCUGCCAAAUCCACAACGCGCACCUCCGCGACCCUCUCCCGGAUCCACCGGUACAGGUGAUGGUCGCGCCGCCUGUGCGGAGCCCAUAGUGUUCGAUGCAUCUCUCGGUCACCGCGUCCCGCUCCUCUUCCACCUCCUGCAGUGGCUGCGAGAUCCUCUCGCUCUUCUUCUUUGUAUGUGCCUCGCCGGUGACAUCCGCUGGUGGUGGUGUAGUGACCACCGCUGGUGGUGGUGGUGGUUAGGAGGAGGAAGAAGAUGCAGAUCACUGCAGAUGGGGCAGGGCGUCGACAGGAGAAGCAGGGCGUGGCGGUUUGAUAUUCAUCUAAGCUACUGUCGCUGUUCUAAAUCUCUCUCAUGUGUAUAUUGUUGAUGCUGCUCCAUCUCUCUUUCUGUUGGUGUUUGUUGCCCAAGUCCAGCACUAUCACGGGAUGAAUUGCUUCUACUUUUCUUCUAAAAUCUUGAUGCCAUGUCUUGUUUUGCAUAAUGGAUGAUUGUGUUCUUUUUAUUCUUGAUCAUUUUUCUGAAUUUUUUGCCCUGUGCAUUCAUGUGUUCUCAAACCUGUAUUCUGUCUCCAGGUAACGCCGCCACAUUCUCCGGCCUGGCCCGGCGCUCCACGCCUCUGCCCCAACUCCCUGCUCGCAACGGCGCGAUUCAUCACAUACUAUCGGAUUUCAUCGGAGGAGGUCCCCUGCUGCACCUCCGCCUCCUGGGCCCGCUGGCGGAACUCCUGUGUUACUCCUCACGGCUGCACUACUCUCUCUCACUCUCCUGUCUCUCUCUUUCUGAUAGAGGCGAUUUCAUCGGAACAAAUUCAUGUACAUGCUUGAUUGCAAGUAUUUUUUUCCUAGAUGCGAACAAGAACCCAUG
rnacentral:rRNA from 1 species